GCUUUGGUGGCCUAGUGGUUAGAGCAUCUGCCUUGAAUGUGGGAGGUCGCAGGUUCAAACCCAAGUCGAGUCA